rnacentral:rRNA from 1 species
GCAUAGCUGGGUAGCUAUGUGUGGACGGGAUAAGUGCUGAAAGCAUCUAAGCAUGAAGCCCCCCUCAAGAUGAGAUUUCCCAACUUCGGUUAUAAGAUCCCUCAAAGAUGAUGAGGUUAAUAGGUUCGAGGUGGAAGCAUGGUGACAUGUGGAGCUGACGAAUACUAAUCGAUCGAAGACUUAAUCAAAA